rnacentral:rRNA from 1 species
AGAACGAACGCUGGCGGCAGGCCUCAAACAUGCAAGUCUAGGGGGUGUAGCAAUACAUCACCGGCGGACGGGUGCGUAACGCGUGGGAAUGUACCUAUUGGUUCGGAACAACUGAGGGAAACUUCAGCUAAUACCGGAUGAGCCCGAAAGGGGAAAGAUUUCUCGCCAAUAGAUCAGCCCGCGUCCGAUUAGCUAGUUGGUGGGGUUAAAGCCUACCAAGGCGACGAUCGGUAGCUGUUCUGAGAGGAAGAUCAGCCACACUGGGACUGAGACACGGCCCAGACUCCUACGGGAGGCAGCAGUUGGGAAUCUUGGACAAUGGGGGAAACCCUGAUCCAGCAAUGCCGCGUGUGUGAAGAAGGUCUUCGGAUUGUAAAGCACUUUCGACGGGACGAUGAUGACGGUACCCGUAUAAGAAGCCCCGGCUAACUUCGUGCCAGCAGCCGC